UAGAUCAUGUGUCAGAUCAAGUUGAUGCACAAUGACACCAACCCAAACAAGAUGUAGAUCCCCACGCAAAUCUGCUUAAAAUCGAUGCCCCGCUCCCUCCUACCCUUCUUAACCCCCCCCCCCCUCCCCUCCUGUGUCAAACGGCAUUACGUCGCAUUGGAAUAUGGCAUAGCGCCAUAUCCAACACAUGGUGUGGACCUGUUGCUUUUGUGUUUCCAGUGCUGUCUAAUGACCAAUCCCCCCGCCCCACCGCCCCCCACACGACGCUCCCCCCACACACUUUUACUCCAUCCUCCAGUAGGCAAAUCCUUCAGCUUUAUUGCCCAGACUCAAGGGCUGCAGGUGCACCGGCCACAAAAGAGAGAGAAGGGGUUUUUGAGGGAAGGGGGGUGCUGGGAAUAGAGAAUGGUUAGUCGGCAGAUAAGAGAGGAAGGAACCGAGACCCCCGCCCCACACACAACCACCCUCCCACUCUGAUUUAACCUCUUCACCCACCCAUCUCUUACAUCCCCAUCCUGCACGUUGCUAUGGAAAGAUGGAAGGAAGCUCCGUGCACUAGUACACUACACUAGUAACUCAUCAAACAAUCCAAGGCUCCGGUCUAGUUUAACGAGGUGGUGCACAGUUUUGCCUUACUAGUUUUGCUACUAGUAGUAUGUACAAAACUCAAGAUAGAGAUUGAAUAAAUGAAGCUACUAGUGCAUGACACACACUAUACCCACUCGUUGAGCCAAGUAAUGUUACAAGUGCAUCAUAGGCUUUAUUUGUGCACUCGCAGACUAAAUGUGGCAUUAAAAGUUCGGGAAACUCAUAACCGGUUAGACACAAUUGUUGUACAAGUGCGUUGAAUUGUCCUACUAGUGAAGAGAAAGAGGUACGUGGAUCUGAAGAUGGACACCCAGGCUAUCGAAUAAACGCUCAAAGGAUUUCACACCAGUGCGAGCGAUCGCACCUGGCACCACCGAGCCUUUGUGACUGUGUGUGUUUUGUGUGUGUAUGCUGGUAAUGUCCAGCAGCCUUUCAUCUGAGCAAGCAGAUAUGGCCCCUAAUGUACAUCCCACCGUUGGCCCCCGACCGCCUACUCGCACUCAUGAGCCGACUGAUCGACCAAUGAGAUGUCUAUAAAAACUGCAGCUGAGCUUCGAACCCCAAAGCUUCUAACGAGCUGCCAUGUCUGGAACACGCCCACGGGGACAGGAAUAACAGGCCGCUCCAGAACACAAGGAUGUAUCCGAGACAUCGUGGCACCCUACCUGCCUGCUCACUUUCCUUAUCUUCUGUCCUAAUCGUCGGUCCCUUCCACCAUCUGCUCCUACGGGUCCGCAGUAAAAAAACGCCACCGCCGUGUAUAAGACGGGCUCGGUUUCAUGGUGGACCACAUUUCGGUGGUGAACGGACAACGAAAGAGCAAACCUAAGAUAACUGGUCCGAGUAAUAUUUAAUUGCAUAUUAGCAGGCAAAAAGAGGGACUGGCAAAGG